GAAUGCUGACAUAAGUAACGAUAAAGCGGGUGAAAAGCCCGCUCGCCGGAAGACCAAGGGUUCCUGUCCAACGUUAAUCGGGGCAGGGUGAGUCGACCCCUAAGGCGAGGCCGAAAGGCGUAGUCGAUGGGAAACAGGUUAAUAUUCCUGUACUUGGUGUUACUGCGAAGGGGGGACGGAGAAGGCUAUGUUGGCCGGGCGACGGUUGUCCCGGUUUAAGCGUGUAGGCUGGUUUUCCAGGCAAAUCCGGAAAAUCAAGGCUGAGGCGUGAUGACGAGGCACUACGGUGCUGAAGCGACAAAUGCCCUGCUUCCAGGAAAAGCCUCUAAGCAUCAGGUAACAUUAAAUCGUACCCCAAACCGACACAGGUGGUCAGGUAGAGAAUACCAAGGCGCUUGAGAGAACUCGGGUGAAGGAACUAGGCAAAAUGGUGCCGUAACUUCGGGAGAAGGCACGCUGAUAUGUAGGUGAAGCGACUUGCUCGUGGAGCUGAAAUCAGUCGAAGAUACCAGCUGGCUGCAACUGUUUAUUAAAAACACAGCACUGUGCAAACACGAAAGUGGACGUAUACGGUGUGACGCCUGCCCGGUGCCGGAAG
rnacentral:rRNA from 1 species